CUGGACCAGCAAUUCUACGAAGCUGAAGAAGGGGGGGAAAGAGAGAGAGAGAAAGAUAGGGAGGGAGAGCGAGAGAGAGAGAGACUGAAGAGGGAAGGAGCUGAGUUUUGGGUGUUGGGAGGUGAGACGAAGAAGUGUGGAGGUGAAUAAUCAACACUGCUAUUUAACAUAAAUGGAUCCUACAGCUGAUGACCAAUUAGAUUUUGAUGAUGAGGAAUAUGGAGGAGGUCAAAAGAUGCAGUAUCAUGGAGGUGGAACUAUCCCUGCACUUGCAGAGGAGGAAAUGAUGGGUGAAGAUGAUGAAUAUGAUGAUCUUUACAAUGAUGUUAAUGUUGGAGAGGGUUUUCUUCAGCUGCAGCGGUCUGAAGCACCAAAACCUCCUGAUACUGUGGUAAAUGGAGGAUCCCAAGCUCCCGAAAAUAAUAUGUCUGAACCAAGAGCGGGUGCUAUAACAUCACAAGAGAUGAACCCUGGUGUUGCCAGUUCUGGACUGCGAUUUCCUGAGCAAAAGAGUGGACUUACAGCUGAAAGGGGUCCCAAUCAAGCUGCUGAUGCCCCAGAAAAAGCAAGACCUCCUUCAAUGACUCGUGAUCCUCAAGUGGGAAACAUGGGAUUUCAAGGAUCAGUUCCAAUGUCUCAUAGGACUGGUUCUGAUCCAGCUGAUAUUUCAGGCAAUGCUGUCAAUGAGUCUAUGCCAUUGCAGAAUUCAGCUGCUGGUGGCUCAAGAGGUGCUCCAUUGAUGCCAGCUCAUCAAAUAAAUUCUAAUGCCAAUAUUAACAUGAACAGCUCUAUGAUGAAUGAAAACCAGAUGAGGCCAGCCAUAGAAAAUGGCAAUACAAUGCUCUUUGUGGGGGAGUUGCACUGGUGGACUACUGAUGCUGAUCUUGAGAGUGUGCUAAUUCAGUAUGGGAAAGUUAAGGAGAUUAAAUUUUUUGAUGAAAGAGCUAGUGGCAAAUCCAAAGGCUAUUGUCAAGUUGAAUUUUAUGAUCCUUCUGCUGCUACUGCUUGUAAAGAAGGAAUGAAUGGCCACCUUUUCAAUGGGCGAGCUUGUGUGGUUGCAUUUGCUAGUCCUCAGACAAUAAAGCAGAUGGGUGUUUCUUAUAUGAACAAAACCCAAAAUCAAGUUCAGGCUCAACCAAGGAGGCCCAUGAAUGAAGGACUGAACAGAGGUAGUGGGACAAGUUUCCCCAGUGGAGAUCAAGGGAGGAAUUUUGGUAGGGGUGGCUGGGGACGAGGGGGACAGGGAAUGCCAAACAGAGGUCCUGGUGGCGGGCCUGCAAGGGGAAGAGGUGCUAUGGGAGCAAAGAAUAUGGUAGGUAAUGUACCUGGAGCCAAUGCCAAUAUGAGUGGUGGAGCUUAUGGACAAGGGAUUGCAGGUCCAGGUUUUGGUGGUCCUCCAGGUCUUAUGCAUCCUCAGGGCAUGAUGGGUCCUGGAUUUGAUCCUGGUUAUAUGGGUCGAGGAGCUGGUUAUGGAGGCUUUUCAGGCCCUGGUUUCCCAGGGAUGCUUCCUCCGUUUCCUGCUGUCAAUCCAAUGGGGCUUGCUGGAGUGGCUCCUCAUGUCAAUCCCGCCUUCUUUGGCCGUGGGAUGGCUGCCAAUGGAAUGGGGAUGAUGGGGACAACAGGGAUGGAUGGUCCUCAUCCAGGAAUGUGGACUGAUACAAGCACUGGUGGUUGGGGAGGGGAAGAGCAUGAAAGAAGGACCAGGGAGUCAAGUUAUGGUGGUGAAGAUAAUGCAUCUGAAUAUGGGUAUGGAGAGGCCAGCCAUGACAAAGGAGCAAGGUCGACAGCUGCUUCCCGGGAGAAGGAGCGAGCUUCAGAACGUGAUUGGUCAGGUAACUCUGAGAAGAGGCAUCGGGAUGAUAGAGAGUAUGAAAGGGACAGGUACGAUAGGGAGCACAGGUACAGGGAUGAAAGAGAUGGUUAUAGGGACUACCGUCACAAAGAACGUGAGUUAGAUUAUGAAGAUGACUAUGAUAGGGGACAUUCUUCAAGAUCUCGAAGCAGAUCCAGAGCAGUGCAGGAAGAGGAUCAUCGAUCUCGUUCGAGGGAUACUGACUAUGGGAAGCGGAAAAGGUUGCCAUCAGAGUAACAUGGCUAAAUGCUCUGUUAUUCUUCACAUGGUCUUAAUUGGACUCCUACCACCCUAUUAUCCUUUCACUGCAUUCCUAUGCUGACUGCUUGAAGGCAUAUGAAUUCUUCCUGAAUUCAAUGAAGGAGCAGAGAGGCAACUCUUUGUUUUCAUGUCUAAAUCCGCAUAUGUUGGUUACAUGGAGGAAGAUGAGUUAACUUGGAUGAAUUCUCUGACAAUCCUAGUGUUUUGGCCCAUUGAAUGUGGCUGUAUUUUGUUUUCCUCAUGAAAUCUAUAUAUGGUUUACCCUUCAUUAAAGUUUGUAAAGAAGAUUACAAAUCAUGUCGCCAGUUAUGGCCAUAGGGAUGUGUCUACCACAUGUACUUUUACAAAUCCUAUUUUGAGCUGUUUUGGUAGAUUGUGUGUAGUAUUUUCCAAACAUGUAAGCGUUUCAUUUCAAUGCUUGUCCCUUUCUAUCAGCCUGUAAGCGUGUUGUACCAAGUUUGAGCCCCAUACUUGUCCACUAGAUGGCUUGUACACAAUUCCAAUUCAACUUUAGGGAUGGUCCGGUAGAACUGUUGUAUGCUUAACUUUGUGUUGUAAAAUUAAGCAAUUACUAUCAUACUGGAGGGUUACGUUACUCAUUUCUCCAUGGAGCAUAUGAAACUAUGAGCUUAAGCCUUAAGAUACUACAAAAUGUAUUCUCGGUGAGCCAUCUCAAGGCUUUAUUGGAUAUGGUGACUGCAUAUUGCAUAUGUAUUUAUGGAAUUGUUCUUACAACUAGGAUUGUAUACUUUGUGAAUUGUAAUUAUAGAUUCCAUGAUUAAAAUUUUGUAUCUUUUGUGUUGUAAUUGGUUUAUAUCCUGAUUGUAAAUUUGGCUUGUGUAGCCGGAUUAUAUCCCACUUGUAAAAUGUCCAUGUAAAAUCCAAUAGAGGGUUGAUGUCUGUAAA